UACGGAGGAUGCAAGCGCUAUCCGGAAUGAUUGGGCGUAAAGCGUCCGCAGGUGGCUGUGUAAGUCUGCUGUCAAAGAGCAAAGCUCAACUUUGUAAAGGCAGUGGAAACUACACGGCUAGAGUGCGUUCGGGGCAGAGGGAAUUCCUGGUGUAGCGGUGAAAUGCGUAGAGAUCAGGAAGAACACCGGUGGCGAAGGCGCUCUGCUAGGCCGCAACUGACACUGAGGGACGAAAGCUAGGGGAGCGAAUGGG
rnacentral:rRNA from 1 species